AGGAGGAACAACUACAGUGGCAGCGGCCAGCUCUGGAGCCCUGGAGUCAGCUCCCGCAGUAACUACAGUGCUCUCCGUCUGCAGGGCCUGGAGGCUCCAGGGGCGG
rnacentral:pre_miRNA from 1 species